rnacentral:lncRNA from 1 species
GGUCAAGUCAGAUCAAGUGAUGGUGUAGGUUAGAUCGAAUCAAAUAGAUAAGAGAAGUUAGAUUGGAUUGAAUAAAAAAUUCAUCAUACAAAUAUUAUAAAAUAAUUAUAAUUUUGAAAAGAUAAAUUUAAAUGAAUAUUAUAUCGGAUUGGACUUGGGACGAGACAUACCAUUACUCGUAUCUGAUCUAAACCUACUUCAAAUAUUUUAUCUAAAACUCAUACUAUUAUGAAUUUUAAUCGGAUCGAAUAAAAUUUAUCAGGUUAGAUAUCUAUUGGGUUGGCUAAAAUUACCGUCCUGAGGUUGGGUGCCCACCUUAUUUCUUGAAAAAGUUGCUAGAAACAAGAUCCCAUGUCAUGCUAUUCUGGCAACCAGAGGGCUGAAUACCGUGCUAGACUAUGAUUGCCACCCAGGAGUAGUUGAAACUACGACCCACGUACUCCUCCAAUGCAUGAG